rnacentral:rRNA from 1 species
GACGAACGCUGGCGGCGUGCCUAAUACAUGCAAGUCGAACGAGAGCGACCGGUGCUUGCACUGGUCAAUCUAGUGGCGAACGGGUGAGUAACACGUGGGUAACCUGCCCAUCAGAGGGGGAUAACAUCCGGAAACGGAUGCUAAAACCGCAUAGGUCUUCGAACCGCAUGGUUUGAAGAGGAAAAGAGGCGCAAGCUUCUGCUGAUGGAUGGACCCGCGGUGCAUUAGCUAGUUGGUGAGGUAACGGCUCACCAAGGCCGUGAUGCAUAGCCGACCUGAGAGGGUGAUCGGCCACAUUGGGACUGAGACACGGCCCAAACUCCUACGGGAGGCAGCAGUAGGGAAUCUUCCGCAAUGGACGCAAGUCUGGCGGAGCAACGCCGCGUGAGUGAAGAAGGUUUUCGGAUCGUAAAACUCUGUUGUUAGAGAAGAACAAGUGCUAGAGUAACUGUUAGCGCCUUGACGGUAUCUAACCAGAAAGCCACGGCUAACUACGUG